rnacentral:lncRNA from 1 species
CCCAUUAAGGAUGUCUGGUCGUACAGGAAAGGGCAGGGGCGACUCCCCACUCUUCAAAACCCUAGAACUUCACUAAUCUUGCAAAUUGAAGGUCCAAUUCAGUCCAAAAUCGAAAUUUAAGCAUGGAUUAUUGAUCCUCAUCACAAGAGGAUUAAAAGUUUGAUCUCGUCAAGCUAAGUGGGAGCUGGAAAGGAAUGGAUCAAACGGAUCAUGGAUGCGAAGAAUGUUUGCGCGGACGCGAGGUAAGUAGAGCUUACACUUUUGUUUUUUUAGGAUACGUAUUUACUUUAUAGAUUAUAAACACGACCAAGGUUAUAUCCGAAAUAUGGGUUCUGACACGAAAUGAUACGGGUCGACGAAUAAAAGGAUAAAAACCAUGUUUAAUGGCAAAAAGGGGCGAAACGGGUUAAAUAAUGAAAUGGUAAAUAAAUACCAUUCAAAUAUAAGUGCAAAAUGUUUGGUCGUUUAGACUAAACAGGUCAAAUGGUAAUGUUAACACCAUUUGACGAAUAACGACUAACAAGUGCAUGUCGAGUCUAAUGCUCACAGGGUAAAACGGCUUAUGGAAUUUACGUGGCUAUGAAUCAGCAAAUUAUUAAGGCAAGGUAUUAAAACGGGUCAAUACUUUGACCCGCGCCAGGUACGCGUAAAUUUGGUGAAAGAUAUGUGAAUACCUUAAUGUAGAAAAAUGACAUGUGAAAGUAGGGAGUAGGAUUUAAACUUAAAUGAUUAAAUCCUCUCUAACGGGUCAAAAUAAGAACUUGAACGUAAAUGGGUUCUAACUAAGUAAGAAACCCAUGAUUUAUGAUUUAUUUGAUAGGAAAUAUUGAAAUUAUGAUUUUCAUGAGUUUAUAGAGCAAGUAAACAUGUUUGUUUGAUAAAAUCGCGAACGGGUUAAAAUUUGGUAAAAAUGGUUAAAAUUUGGUAAAAAUGGUAAUAAGCCGAAGACUUAAAAGUCUUAAAUUUUGUUAAUUCCGAUGUUGGAUUUUGACUCCAUACUAUGAAGGGUCAAAUUACAAUCAUGUAGGAAGAAACGGUGGGUCAAACGGAUAAGCGGUUUGAAAGAUACGAAAGUUUUCGUGACAAUAAACGGCAAAAUAGGAAAGCUGGAAUGCAGGGGCCACCGUAACUUACGGUGACACCGUAAGUUACGGUGGAGUUGAAGGCUUUACGGCAGCCCCCUACUGAUUUACGGUAGGGGCAUGUCACACCAGGGGCCACCGUAACUUACGGUGCCACCGUAAGUUACGGUGGAGGCCAGUUGGGAAAUCCAUGUUUUGAGAUCAAGAGUUUAACCAUUACCGGAUUUGUUUAGAUUUAUUUCAAUCCCCGUAUGACUAAAGCAUUUCAUGUUUAUGAAAUGUAGGUUCAUUUUGGAUGCCGAUAGACGAUCAAGCUCAUCGAAGAACAGAACAUGAUAUAGUUACAUGCUUCCGCACUUUGCCACGUUGUAUAUUUUAAACAACGAAUUCGAUCACGUUUUGUAGAAUAACUUAUGAAUUGUAAAAGUUUUAAUUUACUCGAAAUUUUCUAAGGAUACUUAACCUUA